rnacentral:tRNA from 1 species
UCGUCGACGGCGAGGGCGCGCGCCUCGGGCUCGGCGAGGAGGCGCGCGCGAUCACGCGCGACGCCGACGGCCGCUUCGGCGUCGCCGACCC